rnacentral:rRNA from 1 species
AACGAACGCUGGCGGCAUGCCUAACACAUGCAAGUCGAACGAGACCUUCGGGUCUAGUGGCGCACGGGUGCGUAACGCGUGGGAACCUGCCCUUAGGUUCGGAAUAACUCCCCGAAAGGGGUGCUAAUACCGGAUAAUGUCUUCGGACCAAAGAUUUAUCGCCUUUGGAUGGGCCCGCGUUGGAUUAGCUAGUUGGUAGGGUAAAAGCCUACCAAGGCGACGAUCCAUAGCUGGUCUGAGAGGAUGAUCAGCCACACUGGGACUGAGACACGGCCCAGACUCCUACGGGAGGCAGGAGUGGGGAAUAGUGGACAAUGGGCGGAAGGCUGAUCCAGCAAGGCCGCGUGAGUGAUGAAGGCCGGAGGGUUGUAAAGCUCUUGUACCCGGGAUGAUAAUGACAGUACCGGGAGAAUAAGCUCCGGCUAACUCCGUG